CAGUAACACGUGGAUAACCUGCCCUUAGGUUUGGCAUAACUCCGGGAAACUGGAGAUAAUUCCGAAUAAACCAUUAUUGCUGGAAUGCUUUUUGGUUCAAAGGCUUCGGUUGCCUAAGGAUGGAUCUGCGGUCUAUCAGGUAGUAGUGGGUGUAGUGUACCUACUAGCCUACGACGGAUAUGGGUUGUGAGAGCAAGAGCCCAGAGAUGGAUUCUGAGACAUGAAUCCAGGCCCUACGGGGCGCAGCAGGCGCUAAAACUUUACAAUGCGGGAAACCGCGAUAAGGGGACACCGAGUGCCAGCAUAUUAUGUUGGCUGUCCACAUGUGUAAACGGCAUGUGUUAGCAAGGGCCGGGCAAGACCGGUGCCAGCCGCCGCGGUAACACCGGCGGCCCGAGUGGUAAUCACUUUUAUUGGGUCUAAAGGGUCCGUAGCCGGUUUGAUCAGUUCUUCGGGAAAUCUGACAGCUCAACUGUUACGCUUCCGGGGAAUACUGUCAGACUUGGGACCGGGAGAGGUAAGAGGUACUACAGGGGUAGGAGUGAAAU
rnacentral:rRNA from 1 species